rnacentral:rRNA from 1 species
AGGACGAACGCUGGCGGCGUGCCUAAUACAUGCAAGUCGAACGGCUUUUCUAUGGAAGCUUGCUUCCACUGAGAAGAUAGUGGCGGACGGGUGAGUAACACGUGGGUAACCUGCCCAUAAGAGGGGGAUAACAUCCGGAAACGGGUGCUAAUACCGCAUAGUUUUCUUGAUCGCAUGAUCGAGAAAGGAAAGACGGCCUUUGUGCUGUCGCUUAUGGAUGGACCCGCGGCGUAUUAGUUAGUUGGUGAGGUAACGGCUCACCAAGACGAUGAUACGUAGCCGACCUGAGAGGGUGAUCGGCCACAUUGGGACUGAGACACGGCCCAAACUCCUACGGGAGGCAGCAGUAGGGAAUCUUCCGCAAUGGACGAAAGUCUGACGGAGCAACGCCGCGUGAGUGAAAGAAGGUUUUCGGAUCGUAAAACUCUGUUGUCAGAGAAGAACAAGUCGGAGAGUAACUGCUCCGGCCUUGACGGUAUCUGACCAGAAAGCCACGGCUAACUACGUGCCAGCCGCCGC